rnacentral:rRNA from 1 species
GACGAACGCUGGCGGCGUGCUUAACACAUGCAAGUCGAGCGAUGAAGCUCCUUCGGGAGUGGAUUAGCGGCGGACGGGUGAGUAACACGUGGGUAACCUGCCUCAUAGAGGGGAAUAGCCUUUCGAAAGGAAGAUUAAUACCGCAUAAGAUUGUAGCUUCGCAUGAAGCAGCAAUUAAAGGAGUAAUCCGCUAUGAGAUGGACCCGCGUCGCAUUAGCUAGUUGGUGAGGUAACGGCUCACCAAGGCGACGAUGCGUAGCCGACCUGAGAGGGUGAUCGGCCACAUUGGGACUGAGACACGGCCCAGACUCCUACGGGAGGCAGCAGUGGGGAAUAUUGCACAAUGGGGGAAACCCUGAUGCAGCAACGCCGCGUGAGUGAUGACGGUCUUCGGAUUGUAAAGCUCUUUUGGCAGGGACGAUGAUGACGGUACCUGCAGAAUAAGCUCCGGCUAACUUCGUGCCAGCCGCCGCCGUAA